rnacentral:lncRNA from 1 species
UUGGUUGGUAAAUCAAGUCACUGAGGCACGGUGUACUAAGUAUUUUGUGCCAGGCUUUCUCUCAGUAUUUUGUACCACCUUGCCUGGUGAUUGAUGUGCUGGAUUAUGAGAAUUCGUUUCUGAGCAUGGAAGUAGGGGAUUUCCAAGCACAGCUUUGUUAGGAGUUACAGAGGUUAACCCAUGAUAGACUUUUGAAUUUGAUCUUUUAGUGGUGUUCUAGGGGAAUAAUGUGCAAGCAUUUGCUCUUAUAUUAUUCCUUCUGAGAUUAGGGGAAAAACAAUAAUCAUAUCAAUUCCAUUAGCAGGGAAUAUUGAUGAGAAAAAUCACACAGAGGGUGCUGAGUAGAUGAUUCCAACCUGCCAAGCAGCCACCCUGUGACCUCCUGGCACCAACAAGUGACCUCAUCAAGACAUUGUGGCCUGAUGGCUCCCAGCAAAAGACAUCUUGCAGGAGAUGGAAACUCAACUGAAUCUUGAAAGAAAUUCAAGGAUUGCUGCGAGGCCUUGUUUGAAAGAACUAAACAAACAUAAGGAUCAGAAACAGACCUGGAAGAGCCCAACAGAAUGUAAGAUUUCUUCAAAACAUCAUUCAACUAUCUUAAUGAAAAAUGAAGCUCUUCCCUUCCAAGGACUCAGAUUCCAUCAAAAUAAAUAAUGAAUGAAAACCUUCAGGGAAUAGUAAAGGAGAGGAAUCAGAGGAUCAAGAGUUUAGGGUAAAAAUUGCAUUAGAUUGUACUUUCUUUCUCUUUAGCCUGAAAUUUUACCAUUAGA